rnacentral:snRNA from 1 species
UCCUUUGAUUUAGGAAUCUGAUAAAAUUGGAACGAUGCAGAGAAGAUUAGCAUGCCCCCUGCACAAGGAUGACACACACAAAUUGAGAAAUGGUCCACAAAAAA